rnacentral:rRNA from 1 species
UAAUACGUAGGGUGCGAGCGUUAAUCGGAAUUACUGGGCGUAAAGCGUGCGCAGGCGGUUGUGUAAGCCAGUCGUGAAAUCCCCGGGCUUAACCUGGGAAUGGCGAUUGGGACUGCACGGCUGGAGUAUGGCAGAGGGGACUGGAAUUCCUGGUGUAGCAGUGAAAUGCGUAGAUAUCAGGAGGAAUACCGAUGGCGAAGGCAGGUCCCUGGGCUGAUACUGACGCUCAUGCACGAAAGCGUGGGGAGCAAACAGG